rnacentral:lncRNA from 1 species
ACGGACGUCGGAAACGGAUUUAGGACGUCGAAUUACCCUAAGAAGGUUUCCGGAUAAAUUUCUUAAAAGUCCAUAGAAUAUUCCUUGAAUAUUCCCUGACGGAAUAUUCCCCAAAAAUGUUUGGAUCGGUUAGGGUUUAGGGUUUUAGGACUUGGGUUAGGAUUAGGUUAAGGGCUAAAAGGGUUUGGGUUUUAAAAGGAAAAUGAGUUUGGAUUUAAGGCUUUCACAAAUGAGGCCCAAGGCCUUUUAAACAAAUAAUAACAAUAUACUAAAAACAAAAUAAAAUAAAAGGAGGUUGGGUUGGGUUUCUAGGUAAAGGGGUUUAGGUUGGUUUUGGGUUGGGCUCGGCAGAAAGGCCCAAAGGCCUUGGGUUGGUGGGUCGCCGGAUUCAAAGGGAGGAGAAGGCCGGAAUUCGGCCGGAAAACUACCCAACUUUAAACGGCCAUAACUUUGUCACUACUCAACGAAAUCAAGCGAGACAAAAAUGAAAGUUGUAGCCCUGGAAGAGACGAAGAGAAUGAUACCUCACACGACGUCUAACUUGCCGUGGUUUGGCCGGAAAUUGCCUCGAAAGCCUCGGAGGUCGCCGGAAACUGGGUAAGAUUUCAAAUGAGUAUAACUUCUUCAAUACUCAAUGAAAUUGAGUGAAACAAAAAGGAAAGUUAUAGUACUCGACGAGACGAAGAGAUUGAUACCUUGCACGCCGGCCAACUCGUCGUGGUUUGGCCGGAAAUUCUCUCGAAAGUCGUCGGAGAUGGGUGUGCCUACACCCGGCUUCGAUUUCGUCCUAUAACCUCCAAAAAUCACACAAUAAACUCAAUUCAAACUCAACCCACAAGAUUCUUGGACGAAAUAAGGGAGAUUUGAGGCUUACCUCACCGGGAAAAUAGGAACUCGCCGGAGUUCCUUUCCGGGUUUCCUGGGGUUGCAGCACGGGACAGAGGGGGAGAAGGACGAGAUGGCGACGAUGAGGGGUCUUCCUCGCGCAGGGGAGAUGGGUGCGUGCGUGCGUUCGCGGUUGAGAAGAGAGAUGAGGGAGCUGAGAGAGGUCCGAGAGAAGGGAGAGAAAGACAUGACAGACAGAAAAAGAAGAAGAAGAAGGAAGGGGGGUUCACGGGGGGGACAGAGAGAGAAGAAAGAGAAAUUGUUUGGGGGGCUGCCACGUGGCAGAUUUAGAAAGAAAAGGGAUCCAAUGCUUUGGAUCCUGAUUUGGUAGACAAAAAGGAUGAAAUAUAUAUAUUUAAAACAUUUAGGGGUAAUUACAAACAUAAAUCUUUAUAAUUAGGGGGCGGGUGUUACAAUCUUCCCCCCUUAUAAAAAUUUCGUCCCCGAAAUUUAAAAUCACCUACUAAACUGAAAUACUCGUAAAUAGUAAAAAGAAUAUAUGUAUAAAGAGAAAUCAAGUCAGAGUGGGUGCAUCAAAGAGAAUAUGCCACACCGUCGCGAGCGGGUUGCAAAAUCCUCUAUCACGCCUCCAAACUCUUACUUUCAUCCCCAUCAGUGUAAAAAUAGAAAACAUACUUUAAUAAGAUAUAAGGUCGAAAACAUAUAUUGACGUAAGGGUCAAAAAUAAGUACAUAAAAUACGAUAACGUCAAAAUAGAGAUGUACUAACAUAUAGAUCAAAAUUUUGAGCUGAACUUAAAAUUGAAAACAGAAAACACUUUCCUCAAAACAUUUGUAACACCAAAAACAAAUAACCAAAGUAAAUGAAGUUAAAAUACUUAUACUGAAAACCAAAACUGAAAGAUGAGAGUGGGUCUCGCCCAAGAAUUCGUAACUUCACGUACUCCGAGAAAAGAUGAGUCUUUGGGUCGAGUCCCAAGAAUAUCAAUUCCGAAUCUGCAUCAGCUGCUGUAGACGAAUCUUCUUUUCCACUUGCUUAACGAACCCAACGAAUAAGUUAUCGAUACAACAGUCGGCCGCCCGUGAUAUCGAUCACAUAUUUGUUGUCUCAAUAAACAAGCAGUAAUUUCCUGAGGGUGCACAAUUUUUCACGUCGUAAAUUCGAUCCUUCGAAUACCAGUUCACAAUACUCAUCUGCUAACCAGUGUUGCAUGUAGAAACCCUCGUACCAUGUUGCAAAAGUGCCAUACUCAAACCGAACAAAAUAAGAACUGUCGUCGUAAAACUUUAUCCAGCACCAAGCAUCCUAUUUUCCUCAGUUCUUCCAAAUGUGACCAACUACUCCAAAGUUUCACCAGUAAAGAACCCAUUUGAAAACUGUACCUUGGGAUUCAAGAGAAGUGGCUACCAUGUUAGUAGUAGACUCAAAAGCUCGAACCAAGCAAGCAGAAAAUGAGAAGUCAUCUUCCUCGACACGCAAUAUCUCUUGGGAGUUGUUGUAAUGCUCAAUCCACCUCUCCAUUUUUGCUUAGUUGCAGACUUCUAGUCAAACAAAGUCAAAGUUGGAGGAAAGAAGAAGGACUCUCAAGUGAUCAACGUAAAAACCCCAUGAGAGCACACCCCAUUCAAAGGAAGUUUAAAGAUCUUCCGAUUCUCGCCUCAACAGCGCUGUGGUGCCAUUCCAGAGUGCACCAAACAAUCUGCUAGAAGUGAUUCAACAUCCACAUACUCACAAGAAUAAGGUUCAGAAGUGAAGCAGUGGAAAUAUGCGUUGAGACGAACACAUAUCGUUGGAAAAUAACCGAUGUGAUGCCUAUGAAUUCUAGUAAGAUGGUGAUACAAUAUGCUGACCUUCUGUACUAAAACCUUCAACCAACUCUUACUAAAAGACCGCUCAAACCUCACGCCCAUGUGCUCUCGAACCGAAGGAUCCUGGUGAGAGGUAGUGGAAAGCUGCGUUGAGGCGAACACAUCACAUCAUCGAAAAGGUCUACUAAAGUAAGAUAUGAUGGUUAUGAAUUGUAGCAAAAUAAUGAAUGGUGACCAUUCAAUUAGCGUGAAGAUAGUGAUGAAAUAUGCUACUCAUCUGCACCACAAUCUUUCACCGGUCUCUUACCAAAAGACGACUCAAACUUCACACCCACGAGGAACUCUUUCUGGUAAGUCUGGUAAGCUUGUCAAAAUAUUAUACUCCCACCAUUCCUGUCCAAAACGAUAAGAAUUGGGUGCACACUUCCGCCGAAUCGAUCGAUCGUGAAUUCCUCACUGAUUGAGCGAGAAACCAUGUCUAGAAGGCUAAAAGAACACUCAAGAAUUUGAGAGUCAAAACAGUCCAUUAAAACUGGAGUACAAGAUAUCGAGAUUUAAACCAGAAACCAUGCUGAGAACAAACUUUUUUUUUUUUUUUUUUUUUCUACCCGUCGUGUAAUGUUCCGGCAUGAUCCAGUUUUACUUUGAGAAACAAACAAGCAAAGGAAAAUGAAGAUGCAGAAAUAGAAGUCAUUGUUUAUGAUUAUUUGGCUAAUCAUCACAAUAAGGUUGAUUGGUUUCUUAGCCAAAAGAAAAUAGGUCUAAGCUCAAAAAUAGAUAAGAACUGUUAAUAAGAUUUGACGAGGCCAAAAAACUUGAAUUAGAUCUUGGAAAUGCUCGACUCAAAUAGAUGCUCAUCAUAAGCUUUUUAUUAAGAUUCACUUGAGACAUUUCGCAAUUCACAAUACUUUGUGAGAGUUGUUUCAAAGUUCAAAAAUUAAACAUAGAACCUCUGAAUCAACAGAAUGACGAUGAAGAAAGAUACGAAGCAGCCCGCGUAUGCAUGCAGUGACACGAUUGGCUACCUUAAAGUGAUGCCUCUAAGCAACCAAAGCUCAAUGAGUCCAGAGAAGUUUAGAGUAAAGCUCGAUCUUCGUACAAUGAUGAAUAUGGAGAGUCUCAAGCCAUUACACUGAAAAUUACAAGGCUAAACAGUUAACGGACAAGAGCACUGGUCAGUUGGGCUACAAGCAAGAGGUUAAGUUUACUUCUACUGAAAAGUACGAGGACAAGGGGCAUUUUACCACUGAGUACCAGACUCAGGUGAAAUUCAAGGAAUCUGUUUAUCCAAACAAAACUGGAUCUUCAUCAUCUGAGUCCCAUUACAACAACAACAAGAAUCGCAAUUCCUUUUUGGGAAAUUGAUGGGAACAUCAUCUGCUACCGAGGAGUUUCCCAAGAAAAGUGUAAUCUCUAGACGAAGUCAACUCCCGAAGGAUUUGAUGUGAAGUCGACGAUCAAAGGUUCGUGAACUUGUCUUCGUCAUUGAGUAAACAAGAAGGUAAUCGAUAGAACAAUCGCCGAGAAUUGUUAUAAAGAUUCACCCAAAUUUCUUCAGUGGUAAUGAGUCCGAGAACAUUGAUUUGCUCUCACCAACUACCACCUACUAACCGUCGUCACCACCAACACUUACUCGCUUCUUUAGCAUGCAUUUCGAAUAUUUCACGCAAUUUCCAAGAGAUAUGACUAUGCCCGCCAUUCCUAGGGAACGCAUGUUGCAGAGUGGCAUCGCCAUUUCGGAUUUACAGUUGGUCUUGACCAAACUUCCUCAAACUGAGAUUUCUAAAAACAUGUCGCUUCCAAGUAACACCGACUAUGCCUGUCAUUCCCAGAGAAUGCACUUCACAUGCAUUCUUCACAAAGUUGAAAAUAUCGUCCAGAACAAUCCACAAAACAAGGAAGUCGACAUUCACAAUUCGCACGAAUGGCUUCUUGUAUAUCAACCAGAAGUGACAAUUCAAACAGAGGAAGAUUCGCCGACUGUCGAAAAAUGGCACCAAAUCUAGAAGUCCUGACAUCCAAAUGAUGUCAACAAACCAACACUCUACGAUAAUGAGAUCCUAAGUAUGCUCUGAACAAACGCACUGCUGAUACCCAAUCUGACACGCCCCGAAUCCCGAUGUCCUAGGGACAAAGGGACACCCGAACACCCGAACGACGAAAGCCAUUUAUUGAGUGCAAAUGCUGACAACAAGGGAUAGAAGACUUAUAAAUAUAAGAGAUAUAAAGAAUAUGUAUUUAAGGAACGUGUUCAGAGCACACAUCUAAUCUAGAACAUUUAAAAUUAAUUAAUAUAAAAAAUUGAAAUGAACACAGAAGUGGGUCCUACACCGAGAGGACUCGAAGAUACCGAUGCGGAAGUGCCUGGAUGCCGGGAUUGUAUGCCUCGAUCCUAAAUCCUGAAAGGGGCGCAAAACAAACAUGAGUGGACCAAGUUGAUAUAUAUAUAGUAAAACAGUUAUCAACGUACUAACCCCCAGGUUUUAUGAAAACACAUAUAUAAUGAUAACCAUAGGUUUUCCGGAAACCUAGCAUGAUGUGCAGUGUCUCAAAUCAUAACUUGUAUAUAUAUAAUAAUCACUAGUGAAUUGUCCGAUAACCCCCAGGCCCCAUGCCGGCUCCCCGUCUCUGAGCAGACAGUCAGAGGAAAAUACACUUCAGGCCCCAUGCCGGCUCCCCGUCCCUGUGCUAAAUAGCCAGAGGAAACACACUCCAGGCCCUAUGCCAACACCAAACCGUCGCCCGGGACGGACCGGAAUCUAUCCCUACGUCCCGUAGCGGAAAGGACUACUAGGUAAGUACAAAACCAUUGAACAUACAUAUAUUGAAAAACAACUUCAUAGUAUAAAGUCAUCCAUCAUCUAUACUAUAAAGAGGUGUUCGAAACAUGUUCUAAAUAUCAUAUCGUCAUCCAUCAGAUAUUCUAUAAGAACACGGGUUAUAGGAAAAUAGUAAUAAUUUAAAGUAGCCUCAAUAAGCAUGUUAUCUCAAAACAUUUCAUAAAACGUAAUCAUUAAAUCAUGCCUUUCAUGUAUGCAUUUCUACUAUUAAAACAUGCUUUUGAAGGGGUCCACUCACAGUACUUCGCCGUCGAAAAGUCACGCAGCUAGCGAAGACAGAAACGCCACUAUAAUUGCCCCUAAGCACAUAAAGGGGUCUAAUUAAUAAAACUCUAGCAUAACAAUUGAAUUUGAGAAAACGGACGUCGGAAACGGAUUAGGACGUCGAAUUACCCUAAGAAGGUUUCCGGAUAAAUUUCUUAAAAGUCCAUAGAAUAUUCCUUGAAUAUUCCCUGACGGAAUAUUCCCCAAAAAUGUUUGGAUCGGUUAGGGUUUAGGGUUUUAGGACUUGGGUUAGGAUUAGGUUAAGGGCUAAAAGGGUUUGGGUUUUAAAAGGAAAAUGAGUUUGGAUUUAAGGCUUUCACAAAUGAGGCCCAAGGCCUUUUAAACAAAUAAUAACAAUAUACUAAAAACAAAAUAAAAUAAAAGGAGGUUGGGUUGGGUUUCUAGGUAAAGGGGUUUAGGUUGGUUUUGG